rnacentral:sRNA from 1 species
GAGGGUCCAAGCGAUAUCCGGAUUUAUUGGGUUUAAAGGGUCCGUAGGCGGAAUUUUAAGUCAGUGGUGAAAGCCUGCAGCCCAACUGUAGAAUUGCCAUUGAUACUGAAGUUCUUGAAUCUAGCUGAAGUGGGCGGGAUAUAACAUGUAGCGGUGAAAUGCAUAGAGAUGUUAUAGAACACCAAUUGCGAAGGCAGCUCACUAAACUAGUAUUGACGCUCAGGGACGAAAGCGUGGGGAGCGAACAGGAUUAGAUACCCUGGUAGUCCACGCCGUAAACGAUGAUUACUCGUUGCAGGCAACAUACAGUCUGUGACUAAGCGAAAGUUUUAAGUAAUCCACCUGGGGAGUACGAUCGCAAGAUUGAAACUCAAAGGAAUUGACGGGGGCCCGCACAAGCGGUGGAGCAUGUGGUUUAAUUCGAUGAUACGCGAGGAACCUUACCAGGGCUUAAAUGUAGAAUGACAGAUUGGGAAACCAAUCCUUCUUCGGACAAUCUACAAGGUGCUGCAUGGUUGUCGUCAGCUCGUGCUGUGAAGUGUCGGGUUAAGUCCCAUAACGAGCGCAACCCCUACCUCUAGUUGCCAGCGAGUCAUGUCGGGGACUCUAGAGGGACUGCCGGUGCAAACCGCGAGGAAGGUGGGGAUGACGUCAAAUCAUCACGGCCCUUACGUCCUGGGCUACACACGUGCUACAAUGGUAUGAACAAAGGGCAGCCACCUGGCGACAGGGAGCGAAUCCUUAAAUCAUAUCUCAGUUCGGAUUGGAGUCUGCAACUUGACUCCAUGAAGCUGGAACCGCUAGUAAUCGCGCAUAGCCAUGGCGCGGUGAAUACGUUCCCGGGCCUUGUACACACCGCCCGUCAAGCCAUGGAAGCUGGGAGUACCUAAAGUCGGUCACCGCAAGGAGCCGCCUAGGGUAAUACUGGUAACUAGGCUAAGUCGUAACAAGGUAGCCGUACCGGAUGGUGCGGCUGGAACACCUCCUUUAUAGAGAGAUUAUUACUAUUGCUGAUUUAUCAGUAAUGGGAAUGAAAGUUUUUUCGUGCUUACUUCAAAAAAUAAUAAAUAAAUAAAGAUACCCAAAAGCUCAGUGGUUUUAAGCAUUGGGCUAUUGUACUGAUAUAAAAUUCAGUCCCGUAGCUCAGCUGGUUAGAGCGCUACACUGAUAAUGUAGAGGUCCGCAGUUCAAGUCUGCGCGGGACUACAUCAGCUUUUUGGGGAAUUAGCUCAGCUGGCUAGAGCACCUGCCUUGCACGCAGGGGGUCAUCGGUUCGACUCCGAUAUUCUCCACUCUGUCUACUAUUUUGCGAAUUAUGAUCAAUAAUUGGUGAUGUAUAUAGUAGACAUAAAGGUUCAUUGACAUGUUGAAAGAAAAAUAUACUAAUAAGUAAAUUUUACUGAUAAAACUAGAGUUUAUCGUUAUAGAUAUGAAAGUAUCUAAGAGUGUAUGGCGGAUGCCUAGGCUCUCAGAGGCGAUGAAGGACGUGACAAGCUGCGAUAAGCUACGAGGAGGUGCACAUAACUUUUGAUUCGUAGAUUU